rnacentral:rRNA from 1 species
AGAGUUUGAUCCUGGCUCAGGACGAACGCUGGCGGCGUGCCUAAUGCAUGCAAGUCGAGCGACGCAUAUGGGGCUUGCCCUGUAUGACGGAGCGGCGAACGGGUGAGUAACACGUGAGCAACCUGCCCCGAAGACCGGGAUAGCCCGAGGAAACUCGGAUUAAUACCGGAUACCCUCACACCUUCGCAUGAAGGAGUGAAGAAAGGCCUUUGUGCUUCGGGAUGGGCUCGCGACCUAUCAGCUAGUUGGUGAGGUAACAGCUCACCAAGGCAUCGACGGGUAGCUGGUCUGAGAGGACGAUCAGCCACACUGGAACUGAGACACGGUCCAGACUCCUACGGGAGGCAGCAGCAGGGAAUAUUGCACAAUGGGCGCAAGCCUGAUGCAGCAACGCCGCGUGAGGGAUGAAGGCCUUCGGGUUGUAAACCUCUUUCAGGAGGGAAGAAAUUGACGGUACCUCCAAAAGAAGCCCCGGCUAACUACGUGCCAGCAGCCGCGGUAACACGUAGGGGGCGAGCGUUGUCCGGAUUUAUUGGGCGUAAAGGGCUCGUAGGCGGUUCAGUAAGUCGGCGGUGAAAGUCCGGGGCUCAACCCCGGAAAUGCCGUCGAUACUGCUGUGACUAGAAUCAGGUAGAGGAGAAUGGAAUUCCCGGUGUAGCGGUGGAAUGCGCAGAUAUCGGGAGGAACACCAGUAGCGAAGGCGGUUCUCUGGGCCUGUAUUGACCCUGAGGAGCGAAAGCGUGGGGAGCAAACAGGAUUAGAUACCCUGGUAGUCCACGCCGUAAACGUUGGGUACUAGGUGUGGCGAUCCGUCUAACGAUUGCCGUGCCGAAGCUAACGCAUUAAGUACCCCGCCUGGGGGAGUACGGCCGCAAGGCUAAAACUCAAAGGAAUUGACGGGGCCCCGCACAAGCAGCGGAGCGUGUGGUUUAAUUCGA